AACCAGCACCUCAAGUGGUCAGGAGGAUUAUUGGGCCUAAAGCAUCCGUAGCCGGCUCUGUAAGUUUUCGGUUAAAUCUAUAUGCUCAACAUAUAGGCUGUCGAAAAUACUGCAUAGCUAGGGAAUGGGAGAGGUAGACGGUACUCGGUAGGAAGGGGUAAAAUCCUUUGAUCUAUCGAUGACCACCUGUGGCGAAGGCGGUCUACCAGAACACGUUCGACGGUGAGGGAUGAAAGCUGGGGGAGCAAACCGG
rnacentral:rRNA from 1 species